rfam:Camelus ferus unplaced genomic scaffold scaffold1148, whole genome shotgun sequence.
GAGGGUAGAGCUCAGUGGCAGAGCGCAUGCUUAGCAGUCAUGAGGUCCUGGGUUCAAUGCCCAGUACCUCCA